rnacentral:rRNA from 1 species
UGGGGAAUAUUGCACAAUGGAGGGAACUCUGAUGCAGCGACGCCGCGUGAACGAAGAAGGCUUUCGAGUCGUAAAGUUCUUUUAUAUGGGAAGAUAAUGACGGUACCAUAAGAAAAAGCUCCGGCUAACUACGUGCCAGCAGCCGCGGUAAUACGUAGGGGGCUAGCGUUGUCCGGAAUCACUGGGCGUAAAGGGUUCGCAGGCGGAAAUGCAAGUCAGGUGUAAAAGGCAGUAGCUUAACUACUGUAAGCAUUUGAAACUGCAUAUCUUGAGAAGAGUAGAGGUAAGUGGAAUUUUUAGUGUAGCGGUAAAAUGCGUAGAUAUUAAAAAGAAUACCGGUGGCGAAGGCGACUUACUGGGCUCAUUCUGACGCUGAGGAACGAAAGCGUGGGUAGCAAACAGG